GUCUAUAGCCAUAUCAUCCUGAAUAUAUUCAAUCUCAUCUGAUCUUGGAAGUUAAGCAAGGUCAGGUCUGGUUAGUACUUGGAUGGGAGACACCAGGCAUUUGGUAUGGAGACA
rnacentral:rRNA from 1 species